UACAGAGGGGGCAAGCGUUGUUCGGAAUUACUGGGCGUAAAGGGCGCGUAGGCGGCCUUCUAAGUCGAACGUGAAAUCCCCGGGCUCAACCCGGGAACUGCGUCCGAUACUGGAAGGCUUGAAUCCGGGAGAGGGAUGCGGAAUUCCAGGUGUAGCGGUGAAAUGCGCAGAUAUCAGGAGGAACACCGGUGGCGAAGGCAGCCUCCUGGGCCAGCACUGACGCUCAUGCACGAAAGCGUGGGGAGCAAACAGG
rnacentral:rRNA from 1 species